UACAGAGGUCUCGAGCGUUGUUCGGAUUCAUUGGGCGUAAAGGGUGCGUAGGUGGUGAGGUAAGUCGGAUGUGAAAUCCCGGGGCUCAACCUCGGAACUGCAUUCGAUACUGCCUGACUGGAGUACUGGAGAGGAGAUUGGAAUUUACGGUGUAGCAGUGAAAUGCGUAGAUAUCGUAAGGAAGACCAGUGGCGAAGGCGGAUCUAUGGACAGUUACUGACACUGAGGCACGAAGGCCAGGGGAGCAAACGGG
rnacentral:rRNA from 1 species